UGUUCGAGCGUCAUUAUAACCCCUCAAGCUCAGCUUGGUGUUGGGGCCUGCUGUCUGGCAGCCCUUAAAAUUAGUGGCGGUGCCACCUGGCUCUAAGCGUAGUAAUUUUUCUCGCUACAGGGUCCUGGUGGAUGCUUGCCAUCAACCCCCAAUUUUCUAUGGUUGACCUCGGAUCAGGUAGGGAUACCCGCUGAACUUAA
rnacentral:misc_RNA from 1 species